rnacentral:lncRNA from 1 species
NNNNNNNNNNNNNNNNNNNNNNNNNNNNNNUCCUCUCAUUGGCCAGGCCCGGGAGGCGGGUGCGCUCCCAUUGGCCGGGGGCGCUGUCUGUCCCUGCCAGGGUGGGGGCGGGGUCUCCGCCGCGCGGAGCUUGCCCUUGGGUCUGGUGCUCGGUAGAGCCGCCGCCGCCGCCGCCGGUACCUCUGCUGCUGCUGCAGCUCGAGCAUCCGGGAGCCGCCGCCCCCAGCGCCGCGUCCACCGCCGCCGUCUCCCCUGCCAGGACCCCGAGACACCCCGAGCGCGAGCGGCAGCUGCUGCUUGCCUGCGCCCCCUCUGCCCCCCCUCCCUUCCGUGACCUGCCCACCCCUGCAGCCCUCGCCUGCACCUUCUCCAACACCCCGGAUUCCUGCACCACCUGCUCGGGCAGCCCCGGCGGGCUCUGGGACUUGCGGUGCGAGCCGAGGGGAAGGCGAGCUCCGACCCGGUGCCUGCCUGACGGGCUGUCGCGGCUGCACCACCACCAGCAGCAGCAGCAGCAGCAGGAGACACUCUUCCGCCCACCGCAACCCCAUUCUGCGGGUGCGUCGCAGCUGCCGCUUCUGCUGCCUCCAGUCCGGGUCCGAGGGUUCGAGCACCGCAGCGGGGACCAAGGGUCCAGCGGGCGUCAGGAGGACGCCGGCGGACCCUGCACUGUGGGCCCCCGUCACCAGCAUCUUCUCGCCCCCCUCGUUCCUUCCCAGCCCCUUAGAGAAGGGACCGUGACCUGGAGACGCAGCGCCGUCCUCCGCUUCUACAGCGUCUGCGGGCUCCUCUACCAGGUCAUCCCCUCCCCCGCGCGGGAGCAUCAGCUUCACGCCCUUCCCCAUCACCCCCACUGCACCCCGCAUUUCCACUCCGCCCCUUCCAGCCCCUCGGAUCUUGGGCCCUGGCUCAGCCUUGCGCUCCCAGCAGGCAGUCCCGUGCGCGGCCCCUUCCGCCUCUUCACCCACCUGAGCUGCCUCCAUCCCUCACUCAGUCCCCGCCAGCAGCACCCCCAUACGUCCAUCAGCUUCACGCCCUUCCCCAUCACCCCCACUGCACCCCGCAUUUCCACUCCGCCCCUUCCAGCCCCUCGGAUCUUGGGCCCUGGCUCAGCCUUGCGCUCCCAGCAGGCAGUCCCGUGCGCGGCCCCUUCCGCCUCUUCACCCACCUGAGCUGCCUCCAUCCCUCACUCAGUCCCCGCCAGCAGCACCCCCAUACGUCCCCGCCUUCCGGCUGGCAGCUGGCGCCUUCUCUGAACAUCACACCCUCACACCCACCCCCACCGGCCACCUCCCACAUCACGCUCCUGACCGGCCCUCUCCAUCCUCGUCCUCGCUCUCACCUCCCCCUUUCCGGGUCGCCUUCCUCUUUUCUCUGCUUCCCACCAUCACAUCCGUGUGUCUUUGAAAAGUGAGUGAGAGCCUGGGAGCGAGCUACCGAGACUGCGAGAACAGCAGCUGCGGCAGCGCCGUGUGCAUUGCAGUGACAUCCCCGGGGGCAGGUGUGUCGUGAGACGUGUCACGCACCUCUGAA